rnacentral:lncRNA from 1 species
CGCUAAUAUAAAUAUCCACUAACCUUACAACAUUGUUCUUUAGCAAUUUAAGAUAAAUUUAUCCAAGAUAUUUGCCAAGAUAUUUGCCAAGAUAUCCCUCAUCAUAUUGCACAUUUGCCCAAGAUAUUCCUGAUGGUAUUGCACAUUUGCCCAAGAUAUCCACCAAGAAAAUGCACAUUUGCCCAAGAUAUCCCUCAUAGUAUUGCAC